CCUGAACACUCGGAGGUGGCGGUGGAUCUUACUCCUUUCAGCCAGUGAGGAUCCAGCGAGCUGCUCCGUGCCUCCCGCGCCUGUUGGUUGGAAGUGACGACCUUGAAGAUCGGCCGGUUGGAAGUGACGACCUUGAAGAUCGGCGGGCGCAGCGGGGCCGAGGGGGCGGGUCUGGCGCUAGGUCCAGCCCCUGCGUGCCGGGAACCCCAGAGGAGGUCGCAGUUCAGCCCAGCUGAGGCCUGUCUGCAGAAUCGACACCAACCAGCAUCAUGUCCAUGACACUGGGGUACUGGGACAUCCGCGGGCUGGCCCACGCCAUCCGCCUGCUCCUGGAAUACACAGACUCAAGCUACGAGGAAAAGAAGUACACGAUGGGGGACGCUCCUGACUAUGACAGAAGCCAGUGGCUGAAUGAAAAAUUCAAGCUGGGCCUGGACUUUCCCAAUGUGGGGAGACAGAAGAGGAGAAGAUUCGUGUGGACAUUUUGGAGAAUCAGGCUAUGGACGUCUCCAAUCAGCUGGCCAGAGUCUGCUACAGCCCUGACUUUGUGAGUCCCUCCCUGGUCUGGACCAGAAGCCAGGCUUGUAUUCCCAUCUACUCUGGUCCUAUUCACAAUUUGAACUCCUCACUGCUAUUGAUCCUUUGA
rnacentral:sRNA from 1 species